AACCCUUUGCAGAACCCUACGCAGAACCCUUUGUAGAACCCUACGAGAACUCUACGCAGAACCCUACUCACAACCCUUUGCAGAACCCUACCCAGAACCCUUUAUAGAACCCUUUGCAGAACCCUACCCAGAACCCUUUGCAGAACCCUACCCAGAACCCUUUGCAGAACCCUACCCAGAACCCUUUGCAGAACCCUACCCAGAACCCUUGCAGAACUCUACACAGAACCCACUCACAACCCUUUGCAGAACCCUACCCAGAACCCUUUGCAGAACCCUUUGCAGAACCCUUUGCAGAACCCUACCCAGAACCCUUUGCAGAACCCUACCCAGAACCCUGACGUGCACCUUCCUGAACGGGGUCCAUCGAGCUGUUGCCCUGAAAUGUAACAUUGACAUUUGAAAACAACAUGGGGCCUUUGGUGUCGACGCAGAUGUAAAUGAUCUUUUCAGCUCCACCCACUCGAGAGCGCCCUCUAGGUGAAUUUCAGCCAAUCGGGCUCUGGAUGAUGUCAAUACAUCGUCUUCACAAAGAACUCAGACAGUGCGAUGAAUGACACGACCCCAGCAUCACGACUUAGCUCCGUCUCUACGCAGCUCUGGUUCGUCCAAUCAGCAGGUUGUAAACAUUUACUGUUGCUUAGUGACCAAAUGAUGUGCAGCUAUUUAUUAACCACGUAGAUAAAUGACGCGUUUGUUUUUUGAAUCAAACAAAUCUAACAUGUAAAAUCCUGAAGGUUGAAAACUGGACUUUUCUGAACCAAAUGACGACGCAAGGAAUGAUGGGAAAUCACGGGACGUGUUUCAGCCGGAGGGAAGCUUCAGUUUUUGUGCCGACCUCAGCACCUGAAGUUUUAUUUACCGUCCUGACGUCCACCAGCAUCAGAUCGGAUCUUUACACGUGUUUUAUCUGAAGCUGCAUGAAGAGACUACGAUGAUUCAUCGUUCAACACGUUGAACAGAAGCAGCUCGAGUCCAACAUGGAGGAUUUUCUUUUGCUGAGUUUAGUCAUUUAGAUUUUCUUCGAGUUUCGCGAAGGUUUCACUUAUUUUUAUACUGUGGCGACUUUUCUCUCACAAACUAACAAUCAUCAGCUGACAUCAUAUGAAACAUAUUUGAGAUUUUAUCCACGUCAGUAUAUAAUAUAAUAAAAGAUGAUCUAACGAUUGAAACAGGAAUUAUUAGACUUUUUGUACUAAAUAUAUUUUCCUGACAUUUUAAAUGCAGUACUUUUAUUUUGGCAGUGCAGCGUUGGUACUUCCUGUCCCUCCUGCUCUGAUGACGUCAUGUUUCAAGUUAUUUACACUCAGUGUUUGUAUUGUUGUGAUUUAUUGAAGCUAAAAUGAGGUCAUGAGCUCGAUCUCGCUGCAGAAUCACUGUCAUGGCGUCGAUCCGUAUCACUGCUGCCUCGCCGCCUCGCCGCCACGCCGCCACGUGCUUCCUGCUUCUGUGGAACAAAAAGACUGAAAAUCAAAAAAAAAAAAGUGAGGUUUGUUUUUGGAGUGAACGCACAUUAGUCACUUUACGUCUCGAGAUGAUUGACUUUGUUCUUUCUCUUUGAUGAUACUGAGAGGAUUCACGCUUUGUUCGGAUUGGUUGAGUUUUCCUUCGAGACAGGAAGUGGGUUGCUGUGACUAACACCAUGACGACACAAAGAUUGUUCCAUGUUUCUUUUUUUUUCUUUUUGUACAUUUUCAGGUGAUUUAUUCUGUUAUUGAAUUAUUUUAAGCAUCUGAUUGGCUGAUGAAACUGCUGUAUGCAUGAUGUCACCGUGACGAUGUCAGACUUUUGUUCAACCUUUAUUUCGAUGGAUGAUAUAAUCACACUGGCAGUUACAUAGUGGGGGGUCGACCUGCAGCUGAUGAUGUCAUGAAUAACUGCAGCUGGAUGCAGGUGAUGUAACAGGUGAUGUAACAGGUGAUGUAACAGGUGAAUGGUGACGUGAGUGAAUAACAUGAGUUACAAUAAAGAGUGUUUCUCUUUGCUUUGA